rnacentral:rRNA from 1 species
UACGUAGGGUGCGAGCGUUGUCCGGAAUUAUUGGGCGUAAAGGGCUCGUAGGCGGUUUGUCGCGUCGGGAGUGAAAACACGGGGCUUAACCCCGUGCCUGCUUCCGAUACGGGCAGACUAGAGGUAUGCAGGGGAGAACGGAAUUCCUGGUGUAGCGGUGAAAUGCGCAGAUAUCAGGAGGAACACCGGUGGCGAAGGCGGUUCUCUGGGCAUUACCUGACGCUGAGGAGCGAAAGUGUGGGGGGCGAACAGG